UCCAGAGGGGGCAAGCGUUAUUCGGAAUUAUUGGGCGUAAAGGGCGCGUAGGCGGCUUUGCAAGUGAGGGGUGAAAUCCCUCGGCUUAACCGAGGAACUGCCUGUCAAACUGCAUGGCUUGAGACCGGGAGAGGUGAGUGGAAUUCCCAGUGUAGCGGUGAAAUGCGUAGAUAUUGGGAGGAACACCAGUGGCGAAGGCGGCUCACUGGACCGGUACUGACGCUGAUGCGCGAAAGCGUGGGGAGCAAACAGG
rnacentral:rRNA from 1 species